UUCAGGUCUGCAGCACCAGGCUGUAUCUUCAUCCCAGAUCUAAUUCCUGCUGCAACUCGUGGUGUCCAUUUUGGUUCCUGCCAUGGAUGCUUGUUCUUCAACCUGUGGCUGUGCUGGCUUCUCAAGCUUGCUCUGAACUUCUGACCUACCCUGCAGAAGAUGAGGUGGAGGCAGAGAGCAGCUGUUGUGGAGGGCCAGCCAGUGUGGACAGGAACGUUUUGGCUCCCACAAGUAUGAAAGAAGUGACCCUGUCUGUGAGAAAAGGAAGCCUUCCUGGAAAUGUGGAUUUGCUCCUUCCUUCUGGAGGAUGUCACCCUGAGGCAGGACAUCUUUUCUCAGAAA